GACGAACGCUGGCGGCGUGCUUAACACAUGCAAGUCGAACGGAAAGGCCCUGCUUUUGUGGGGUGCUCGAGUGGCGAACGGGUGAGUAACACGUGAGUAACCUGCCCUUGACUUUGGGAUAACUUCAGGAAACUGGGGCUAAUACCGGAUAGGAGCUCCUGCUGCAUGGUGGGGGUUGGAAAGUUUCGGCGGUUGGGGGUGGACUCGCGGCUUAUCAGCUUGUUGGUGGGGUAGUGGCUUACCAAGGCUUUGACGGGUAGCCGGCCUGAGAGGGUGACCGGCCACAUUGGGACUGAGAUACGGCCCAGACUCCUACGGGAGGCAGCAGUGGGGAAUAUUGCACAAUGGGCGGAAGCCUGAUGCAGCAACGCCGCGUGCGGGAUGACGGCCUUCGGGUUGUAAACCGCUUUCGCCUGCGACGAAGCGUGAGUGACGGUAAUGGGUAAAGAAGCACCGGCUAACUACGUG
rnacentral:rRNA from 1 species